CCUGAUAACACAACCUCCUGAUGGUUCCCUGAGACAGGGAACCAAGCCUGCCUAUUCUUUGUGACUCCCACGGUGUCUGCAGCUUUGAAAGGGGACUCGCUCCCGGUGAACGGGCUUGGCAGGCCCCACAUCUCCCAGGAAGCGGGGCACACAGCUUGCUGGCCUUCUUUCCCGUGCCCACAGAACUCAGCUGAUCGGGAGCACGUAGAAAUUUUCACAAGACUAUCACUGCCUCAACUCAGUCUACGAUAGUGCUGGGAGGGCGUACUGGACUGCAGUACCCCCUCUAGAGGGAUCGGAAAAGUUCUAAAUGCCACAGCACAUCCAUAGCUUUUGGCUAAAGUAUAAAGAAUCUGUAGUCUCAGCAACAUAUGGACAAGUGGAGGAGGCCACAAUCAAAGCUGAACACAUAACCAUGUAACUGCUGGGGGCCUCGGUCAAGAAGAAAUGGGUCCACCACGUGCCGACGGUCCUCAAGGCCAGCCUCUGGCCCACCACUGCUCUGGCUCUCAGGAGUUGCUCAGAGUUCCCACUGGGCUCAGAUCUGGGCUCUACCCCCACUUUGUGGGGGACCUCAGUGAGUCAUUGAAUCUUUCUGAGUCUCAUUUGUGAAAGAUAAGAACGCUGGAGAACUGAGAAGCUGGAUCAUUUCUGCAGGCUCCCCCAGCGAGUCGUUUGCAGGUCCAUAUUGGAACCCCAGCACCGGGCUUGGGAGCCCCAGCUCUUAACCACUGAGCUCUCCUGCCUCCUGUUGCCUCUGAGCACCAUGGCUACAGCUGUGAACAGGCGAAGCCCCCACCACCACCACGGGACUUACAUCCUGGCAGGUACCUGGUAUAUAUGCAAACUCUGUCUUGUCUGGUAGAGAUUUAAUUGACUUCCCAUCUCCCCUCCUGGACAAACCAUGUGCUGGGCACCAAAACUGGACUGGAUCCUACUACCUUGGCCAAACUGUCAAUCUUUACCAAAUUUUUUUGAUCCUGUUCGUUUUCUUCAACAUCUGGCUACAAUCCUCCAAACUUUUCUAAUUUUUCUCCCUCCCACCUGACUGGGCAUCACCGAGAACUGAAACCUCACUCCCCAGAUCCUUGCCACGGGCCCUUUCCCCUAGGACCCGAACAAGCCCUGCAAGCUGAAGCCCGACUAUGUGACGCAAGCCUCCGACGGCUCACCACUGCAGCAGACCAUUCAAAGGCCAGAAUUCCCCCCAGCAAGCUGCGUCUGCACCACGAAGGGAGUCCAGCGGAACGUCAGGUCAUACAUUCUCCUUCCUAAGAGGUAACUGAUACAGUGACCAACAGCACAGAGCAUGGAGAGCUUCCAGCAAUGCAGAGUUGUACUGAAGAACCGAGAAUUUCCUCUACCAGUCUCUUGGAAUCCCCUGGACUGCUUAUUCUCAGAAUUCAGCAUCCAGCUCUUUAAUAUAAUCUUUAAUGUUAAUAUUUCCCCUUUUCAUUUCAGGUGCCCUUCACGUAAGAUCCCUGAUCUCCAGAACCCCAAAACAACUGAUCUUUUCACUUCCAGGAGGCUAUUUCUUAGACCCGACUUCACCCUCACAGGGGGCUUACUGCCACCUCCAAGUUGUGUAGCAAUGAAUGAUACUCAUCGUGAACAUAAGUGGGGGACUGACGAUGUGGAACGUCUCCUGAGACUUGUGUUCCCGGAAAGUUACAACCGUUAAGAAAUCCCCCGACCUUUCGUGUCCCAGGAGCCCCUCACCACGAAGGACCAGCUCACCCUUGCGUAUUCCAACAGCCAUCUCCAUCCCUCCUCAUGAGUCCCACGAGCCUCAGAGACGACUUUCUUGUUUAUCUAUAAAACCUAGGCUGCCGUGCUUUCCAUUAAUGAACAUUCUCCUUAUUGCAAUGAGAAAGAAUCAAUGAAUAAAUUUAUUUUUCAGCCUGAGUAAAAUCAUAUCCUUAACUGUCUGGUACAUUUAGUUUUUCAUAUUUUUGUUUCCUCUCAUUUUUAUGGUUGAGUUCUUCCAAUUUCCUUAUCUUUCUAAGCCUCAAUUUCCUCAUCUACAAAGGACGAUUACUUCCGCCCCGGGAGGUGUGAGGACUGAAUGAGAGAAUGCGCGGAAAAGAACCAAGCUAAGUGAAUAGUAAGUGCUGAAAAAGUACUAGUCCUCCUUACAGGAAAACAAUCCGGAGGCAAUAGGUGGCCAGAGAGGGAACUGGCUAAACGAGGCUUAAGUCAGUGCAACUUUAUCUCCAGAAACGGGAAACAAUUCAGAGCAGGUCCUGACACUGAAGUAAACGGCCCAGGGCACGAGCACCAUUUCCUAUGAGCGGAAACUACAGCCGUCAUGUAUGUUGGAAGCACAGCUUCCUUCCCUAGAGGGAGCAGCUACCCUGUUCCGUUUGGGUUUGCAUGUGGUGGGGAGCCUGUUGCCUAUUAACACAAGAUUGUUGGAAAAGUAACUGAGCUUCACAACACGAUGGUGGGGAGUCCCUCAAAGGGCAGCCCUCCUCCUACGUAGGGGUGGGUUGGGGGGUGCCCACAUUGUAGGUUUGCUAAAUACUUAUCCGGGGAGGUCCUGGUGACUCCGGCAGGUGAGAGUGCCAGGCGUGUUGCUUGUGUUUGCAUCUCAGGCCAGAAGAGCACGGGUCUGGGGCCAGGUGAAGGGUGAGAUUUCUGACUGUGCUGUUGAACUUUCCCAUAAUUCUCCCAACUCUUUGUGGAGCCCUUCCUACGUCUGCCGGCAGGGACUGCCAGCUUCCAAACACACCUCAAGGUCCCUGGAAAGGAGGGGGGCCGACAGAGCCGGGACCGUUACGUGGAAGCUUCCAAGUCAAGAACAAAGUCGCCAUCUGACAAUUCAGCUGGAACUCAGAUCGCAUGCAGCAGCGAACACUCCGGAAUACCAGUGUCAGGUACCCAAGUGCAAUGUCAUCAGGAAAACGUUUUCUCCUGAAAAGUGAUCACUGUGGUGCUUUGCAUUAAACUGUAGUCAGCCUGAAUGUAAAAUGAGCAAAUUCUCAAGACCUGCAGAUUUUAACCUCUGAGAAAGUGAGACCUUGACCAAAUAUGGCUCUGCUACUGGCCGCUUUCUCUGACCCACCACCCGGCGGGCCUCGGGGAUGCUCUUUUUCCUCGUA